AACGCCAGCACCCGCGCGAUAUAGGGGAUCAGCGGCAGAUUGAGGAUCAGAAGGAUGACGUUGCCGAUGUACAUGGAGAUGAUCACCGACCAGAACACCUCCGGGUUUUCCUCAAACAGCCGCGGGCC
rnacentral:ncRNA from 1 species